CCCCCAUUGAGAUUGUUUUUCUGGGAGGCUCAGUGGAAGUUUGGACUUGGAGGCUGCUAGAGAUGAGGAGGAUUAACAACUGCAAUGCUAAUUGAGUGGAGGAAGAAGAGGAGGGGAAGGGCAGGGUUGCUCCUUUGGAUACGCAAGGACUGGGUUGGGGGAGGGCCAGGACGGGGGAGGCAGAGAGGAACCUGCUGCCGCUCGCUGGCUCUUUGUCUGCUCAGGGAACUUGAACAAAAGGAGAAACUCGGAUGAACUCUCCAUCUCUCGCUGUUUCUGGGUUAUCUAAUCUUCGGGAACUUUAUCCAGGGAGAAUUACCCAACUUCCUCCUCGCGCUCCUCACUACUGACAAAACAAGCGGCCUCCCGAGGAAGCCCCCCCACUUCGCUUGCAGAAGGUAAAGUGCUUGUCAGGAGCAUGAUGGCAGCCAAAACAUCUUACAGCAAUGGGUGCCAUAUUGAAUUUGCAAUGGUGGGAUAGCAUGGUGGAUACUUCAGUGUGGAUUAACAUAGUCCAAGCACUUCAUGACGAAAGACUUCCUACUUCAUCGUUUGGAUGUAUACAUCUAUUAAUAAACUGAUAAAACUGGUGGUAGUGGCUCUUGAAGUCAGAAAAUAUGGAAGUUGCUGUUGAAAAUAGUUUGGAGUAGAUCGCUUUGUGACAGUGAUAUUCUACAAUUACAAUAAGGAAUUGGCUAUCUCUUUCUUUCAUGUGGUUGCUGGAGCAUUGUCCUAGGACAACAAGGAUUGAUGAAUAAUCUUCAGGUAUGAGUCAUGUAAAUACAGUGAAAGAGGAGGAUUUAUGUUUCAGAAGUGGAAUUGUGUGUGUGUGAUCAAAGGAUUUACAUGCAGCACUCUGUGUUGAAGUUCCUUCCUGCUUGAGGAGGGACACCUGUGUUCUGCCAUUGGUACCAAAGCUGCCGAGAACAUCAACAAAAAACUUUCUGGUACUGGAUCGCUCUUCUAGAUAUCCAUCAAAGUCAACAUUCUCUUGAAAGGUGAUGUCUUCAUUUUACUAUCAAACAUGAUAAAGGGCCUCUAUCUGCAAGCUGGCAUUACAAUGCCUUCAUUGGUCUCAGAAGCUACAGCAUUAGAUACCACUGUGAUGAGCAACCUAGAAAUAUCAAGCACAGUUUUCCUGGCUAGCAAUGAGGCCCAGAAAUCAAGCCAGUGCUGCUAAGUGAGGGACCCACUCAGGAGCUGUUCACUGAUGACCAGAAAGGCUAGCUUGCCAGUCUUGCUGCUAUGGCAGAAGGUGCUGCAGUUGUGACCAAGCUAUGUCCAAGUUAUGCCUUUCUGUGGAUACUGAAGAUUACGGAUCCCUUUUGUGUUUGCUUUCAACAAAUGUUCCAGGGAUUGAAUUUACUAACAGGAAGGAACUAGUUGUGGAAAGUGAAUUUGAAGGAAGCACAGUAGAAUCUUUAUGAAGUAAUUACAGCCCAUUCCAAGGUCAUGGUGUUUUGACUGCGUCUAAGUAGAGCAAUCGCAUCUCCCCUCCGCCUUCUUUUGAUUUUGCUGAACAAGCCAAGCCUUUUAAAUCUUCUCUCUUAAGGUAAGUUUUCUGUUCCAGAGUUGCACUCAGUAUUUGAGGAGGUCUUACCAGUGCCUUGUAUAAUGGUCCAAACUCUUCUUCAAGUGAUGGUGCAUGUACAUUCCAAUAUGUGUGCAUGAUCAUCAGAAGACUUUUUUCCUAGUGGUACCCAUUAGGACAGCUGUGGCAUGCCUUGUGAUGACGCCUCACGGUGUAGCAUCUAUAUCCCAGCUGACUCCUGCUGCAGGUCCAUCUUUCCAUCAGUGAUAGUCAUUGCAGCUUCUGACUUCUAGCUUUGCAGAUAGUCUUGUUGUUUUUGUUGUGUAGAUUAGUUGUUCAAAGUUACUUACAGUAGUUAGCUUAGGGUUUUCUCCUCCCACCCCCUCAUAUUGUUUGUACUCCUGGGACAUGCAGCAGCCCCAGGGUUUCAAGCAGCAUGCAAAUUGUGGCAAAUUGCCUUUUCCCUCCAGUCAGGAUAUUUUUCUUUGUUUUCUUCCCUAAGCCCCAUGCUACAGAGAGAGAGUGGGAACGACACUCCUGGGAUGUGAGGCGUGCCCUCACUUUCUAUAUUGAGCUCUCCUAACUGUUCUGCCGAUGGACACAGCUUUUCUUUGCUAUUGCAAAGCCCGUGAAGGGCCUACCGAUUACAUCACAGCACCUGUCAUCCCGGAUCAUUACAUGUAUCAAGCUGUGCUACAACAUGUCCAAGGUACCAGCUCCACCUAUCACAGCACUUUCACCUUGGGUAUAAGCCUCGACAGUGGCCUUUCUAGCACAAAUCUUAAUUCAGUACAUCUGCAGGGCGGUUGUGUGGUCCUCCCUGCGCACCUGCAUGACUCAUUAUGCUCUCACCCAGCAGUCCUGGGAUGAUGCAGCUUGCAGCAGGACUGUUUUACUCUCAGCAAUGAGCUGAGGUCCGAUGACGACUCUGUACAUAUUGCUGGUAAUUCACAUAUUGGAAUGCAUGUGAGCAGUCACUCAUAGAAGAAAGAACAAUUACUUUUUGUAACUCUUGCUCUUUGAGCUGUGUAGCUCAUGUCCAUUCCUGACCCGCCCUUCUCCUCUCUCGUGGACUGUUCUGGAAAGAAGGAACUGAAGUGGGAGUCAGAUAUGUGAUUCUGUGAGGCAUCACCAUGAGGGGCACCAUAGCCGGCCUGAUGGGUACCACUAGAGAAAAGUCAUCCAAUGAUUGUGCAUGCGGUGCACACAUACACGUAUUGGAAUGGACAUGAGCAGCACAUCUCAAAGAACAACAGCUACAAAAGGUAAGUAGCCAUUCUUUCCUUGUCUCUACUGUGAAGACACGUUAGCACUUUUCAGAAUAACAUCUAUACAUGUUUUGUACACUGAAAUUCACUGGGAUGAAAAGAACCACUUUUCAUAUCUUAAUCCCCCGUCAAUGGGUAGGAGAACACAUCAUUUUAAUUUGGCCAUCAGAGAGUUUUUUUUAUCUUUCUCUGGUUCCCAGAACCUCUGCUUUGAAAUAGUUUCUAAAGAGAUGAAAAAGAGGUAGCUUUAAAAAGCACAAAUGUUACACUGAUGUAAAUGGUCCUUUUCUUUAUUCCUGAGUCCAGUUUAACAAAAACAUUUGGACAUCUUCCAUUUUAAUUUUUUUCAACUUUUUUCUUAACAUUUUUUAGAUUAAAAUUAGAAGAAAAGCAUGAGAGAACCCAAACCAAAAUAACCCAAAGUGUAUUGAUGUGUGAAAUUACUCAUUGUUAUGAUCCAGAAACUCAGACAUUCAAUGGGAUUCUGAAAAGAAAAGAAAAGAAAAGAAAAGAAAAGAAAAGAAAAGAAAAGAAAAGAAAAAGCACACACUGUAAAACACACAACUACAAAGGAAAAAGACCUUGAAUCUAGAGUGUAGUCAUACAAAGUGAAGAAUGCUACAACUUUGAAAGCAUUAAACCUGAUCCAGAAAAAAUGUGAAAUGCCCCAGAUACUUAGAUGUGAAUCUCUUUAAUCCAUGUAAGUAUUAGAAAAAUCCAAAACAUGUGAAAGUUCAAAAGCUAUAUAAAACCAUGAAAUGACUUCUCAUUCAUUUCUCAAAUAUUGGAACAUUUUCAUUGUGCUGAAUGGUUCUCUUUCCUGUUUAUACUGUAAAACUGCAGUUACUAACAACAUAUUGUUGAAUAUUACAAAGCUGAAAGUAAUUUCCAUUUAAUAAGAUCUUUUUGGCUGCAUAUUCUUGGCUUAUGUUAGGGUGCUUUUCAUGAUGUUUAAACCACGGGUGAUGUGCAGAAUUUCAGUAGUUGCUGCUAGGAAGAGGAAGGUGAUAAGUUUCCUUUUUUUUUUAAAUUAUAUUCUUUAAAUCACAUUUUUAUAGCAGGGUCAAGCUAUUUUAUGGAGGGAUUGUGGUGUCUGGGAUAGAGGUUGGUUGCAGAAGGAAGCUUGGGGUAUAAGACUAGGGUACAGGAAGGGAUGUAGGAUCUGAGAGGGAGUUUGGGUGAAGAAGGGGGUUAUUUGGGACAGGGGCUUGGGAUGCAGAGUCUGGGAGGGAGUUGUGACCUGGCGGAAGUAGGGGGCGGGUACAGAAGGUUUGGGCGGUGAUCUGGUAUAGGGAGGUGGUGGCUUGGUAGUAAUGGGGGGAGAUAUGGGGUGGGGUGGCAUAGGAAGGCUCUGGCUGGGAGGUGUGGAGUGGCUACCAGGGCACCUGUGCUUUUUCCUCUUUCCUCUUCUUGCAAAAGAAUUCCCUCUUUUCCAUCCACACACGCCUUUUUCCAAAAGAGCUAUUUCAGAAAAAGGCUUCUUCCUCGUAGAAAGGUUUACCAAUGUCAGAAAAAAUCCUCUGUUCUUUCGAUUUUCUUUCGAAAGAACAUGCUUGCAGUGUGGACAUAAUUGAAGUUUUUUCGGGAAAAUGAAUGUUUUUCCAAAAAAACUCUGUAGUGUAGAUAUACCCAGAGUUACCUAAUAUAAUACCAUACUUACAUCCCCUUCUCCCAGAAGACCAAAUGUGGAAGGACCAACCUCUUUCUGCUUGUGGGACUUUGGUGAAAGGUGAAGCAUGGAGAGCUUAGAAGUAAAGACUUAGAAAGAAUAAGUUAAGUGAAGCAAAGAGCUUUAGAUGAAAUAAAUAAAUACUUGAUGAGGAAGUAGAUAGAGCUUGUGCUUGAGCCCCGAGCUUCCUUAUUCCCAUUGCUUUUAUCUCUCUUUUUGCAUUAUAAUACCCUGAUCAUCAAAAACCAUCUUUCCGCACCCUGAGAUUUUGUGGGUACACAUACUUGAUUGGAUGGUGAUAUUGGGACAUAUUUUGAAUAUGCAUGAAUAAAAUCACCUAAUGCCCUCUUGGAAUCAUUCCCGGGCAUGAAAAAAGCGGGAACUUUGCAGUUAGAUGCAAGAGGGCCUGUUUCCUCCUGUAUCUUUAAUCCACAAUGUCAGUUAGCUGGGUUUGGCAGUUUUGGACUUAUUUUAGGUCUCACGAGGCACUGAGUCACAGACCCCAUCUCUGUACUGACCCAACUGAAAAUUUUGCCACAAGGUCUUUCAUAAUUUCUAAGAAGAUAUUACAAAUAUUUAUAAUUUCUAGAAGUUAAUUAAUCCUUACUUAUCACACUGCACUACUGGUAAAGCCAACUCAUACAGGCUAAAUCAAGUCCUGCGGGCCUUGCAUUACUGGCAUUUCUAUUAAAAUAUAGAAAAAGGGAUAGACUAGGAAAAGAUAUAAACUUGGCAGGUUAUAGCAGGGUGAGAUGGAAGCAAUAUAUGCCCCUGCCACAUGACGCUAUGCUGAAAUGAAGGAUAAUUAUAUGUGUCUCUAAGUAAAAUGGGAAAGGUACACAGUGUGGUAUUUGGAUUUUCUAAUUUGUGCCAUUUUUCUUCAAGCAUAUUGCUAUGCAGACACGUGGUGCUGUCCAGCGGCCACUCCUCAAAUAUUACUCUGGCAGACAAACCUUCACUCAGUAGCAGCAUUUGUUAUGGGGAUGAAGCAAACGCCUGCCCUUAUCAUGAUUAUCUUGACUGAAAAUCUUUUCCUUGGUUUCUUCCUUCCUCACUGAGGUCUUGAAAAGCUUCUCUGUGCAUUAUCUGCUUUUUUCAGAAUGCUCUAUAAAGAGGGGCUACUUAAUUCAUUCUGCUUGGGAACUUUAGAGUAUCAACCUUUCCUACCAUCAAAAGAUAGAUAAAGGGCAAUUGCACUUGGAAAGCUGCUGUAAAAGAAUUCUAAAAUACAGUGGCUCCAGUGACAUUCACAGACAACAAUCUGGUAUGUAUUUGUGGGGAAGGAGAACAACAGUGUGGCCUGUGAAUGACAUGUGCCAAUCGCAUAAUGUCACAUUACCAUUACUUAUGAAUAAAGAAAAAGGCCCAUUAUGUGAUAUUUAACGAAGAAACCCACUGUGCUGACAUGGAGAGGAUGGACCUGUGGUUAGGGCACUGGCUUAAGAGCUCAGGAGUUAUUCAUUCAAUUUUGGACUCUGCAAGAGAUUUCCUAUGUGAUGUUGAGCAAAUCACAGUCAAAUGUUCAAAAUACCAACAGUUGAAGCUAGGUUCUCGAAACUGUAUUGCCAUUUAGAGGCCAUACAUAUCUCAAUGGGAGCUGCAGGGCACUUUUAAAAAAUCUGAACCCAAUUGUUAAGGAUACAAUUUGGUCAUGGAGGUCAUGGAUUCUGCAACUUGAAUAGAUCUUAAUGACUUCUUUAGCUUCAGCCCUACUCAGGCAGGCUUCAGAUGUCGGCCUCGUCAGUAACAGGGCUUGGGCUUCCAUGAUGUAUUAUUUAAUGCUAUCCAUGUCCUAUCCAUGACUUUUACUAAAAAUACCCAUGACAAAAACCUUGGCUUUACCAACUCUGAAUGCUGUGCACUUCACAAUCUGACUCUUAUUCUCUCUUUUCCUUGGUUCACCAUCUGAAAAAAUCAAUAAUUCCUUUAUCCCACCUUUGGUGCCUGUUUUAUCCAGGCAAAUUGUGAGCUGUUUUGGGUAGGGGCUGUGUAUAGGCUAUGAUUUUGUUUGAUGGUAAUUGAUGAAUGAUAAAUGGGCCUGUGAUUAAUAAUUGACAUUGGGAUUCAUAUCAUUCAACUAGAGGAGGGUUCAGGUUAGUUGGAAUUUUAGAUAUGGAGUCUUAGCUCAGCUCAUUAUAUAGGGAGAGGGCUAUUUGUAAAGUUUGGUUCUGGAUCAGAACUCUGAGAUUUGGGGCUGUUCAGAUCCAGGAUUUUGGUGCAUGUUUAUCUCCAGUUUAUCUCUGGUGUAGUUGCGUUGAUGCAGCGUUUUAAGUGUAGACCUUCCCUUUGUUUCUUGGAGGAUGAUGUGUGAUGAAGAGGAGCUGCUGGAUUAACUUUCCUAACACUGCCCAACGAGUUUGAAGGAGUGAGUUUCCACUUAGUGCUGGACUAGCCAUCUUUGGCAACCAUUGGGAGAAAGCUAGGUAUCUUCAUAAACUACCCAGUAGCUUUGAUGAUGAUUAGAGCGUCACUAUUAGUUCUGCCUACAGGGGAUGCACUUCAAAAGAAUCCAUUCCAUGGGAUCCUGACUGAUCUUUUCAACAUUAAUCUCGCCUGUUCAAGUCUGCUGUACUUAUACUCUAAUCAAGUAUACGUUUAGAGGACAAGAAGCAAUGGGCUUAAACUGCAGCAAGGGAGCUUUAGGUUGGACAUUAGGAAAAAUUUCCUGUCAGGGUGGUUAAAUACUGGAAUAAAUUGCUGAAAGAGGUUGUAGAAUCUCCAUCUCUGGAGAUAUUCAAGAGCAGGUUAGAUAGAUAUCUAUUAGGUAUAAUCUAGACAGUGCUAGGUCCCCAUGAGGGCAGGGGACUGGACUUGAUGACCUCUCAAAGUCCCUUCCAGUUCUAGUAUUCUAUGAUUCUAAUCUGUGUGAGGGGCCAAUUGAACACUCUGGUUGUGGGAAGAGAAAAGCUUGCAUUGCUACCUGCCUCUGGGUCUUCUAGUUCUAGUUAUUCUCUCACAAUUUAAGACAUUUAGACAUUUAGGUACCUAAGUGUGUCUUUAACUUGGCCUAAACUGUUGGUACAAUUAUUUGAGCUGGCAGUUAUUAGCCCUCAAAAUAGUCAGCUUCAAAGUGACCUGGCCUCUAAGAUGUGUACAAACACUUAAAAAGUAUGCAAUUUUAAAAAAAAAAAGAAAAGCUAAAGGCUUUAUUUUGAAUUAUAGUGUGGUUUUAUUUGGGGUUUUUAUCAAAGAUUCAGGUCAGGUCCAUCUUUUGGCUAAAUUGGUUUUCCCAGCCUUAAUCAUAAACUGUUUUAAAUAAAUCUCGUGGACACAGAGGCUGUUGAAUUUUUUAGUUAUUUUGACAUAUGCACCCCAGGAUAAUUGUUCCUCCGCUUCAGUAUGAUAUUUGGUUAUAUUAUCCAUGACAAGUGUGGUAUUUCUUUAGUUUGCCUUUAUAAUCUCAGAAGUCUAUUCUCUUUAUAGACAUGUGUAACUUCCCUUAAUAUAUACUUGAGCAAUUCAGAAUUAACUGAAGAAUAAAUUGCCCCUCAUGAGUUGGGCAUCUUUUAAUAAAAAUUCUUAGACUGUUGAUUUACCUUUGGGAACAGAGUGAAUUUUUGUGGGGUUUUAGAUAUAAUUCUGGAAUGGUGUGCUCUACCUGGUAUCUGUUAAUGCCACAGAGACGCCACUUCUUGCUUGGUUGCUUGGUACAAGCAGGAUUCCCAAACUCUCCCUGAAUACCUUCCAAACGACAAUUUGGGAAAUUGUGGGCAACAACUAGUAGAAAAUUGUUGAUGCUGAGGCAGAGGAGACUGUAUGGCAGUUCUCCCCUCAGCCAGGACCUUUUCCUAACUCUGGAGCCAAUCCCCUCCCAGGACCUCUUGCUGCCAGAUACUAAUGUUGGGGGGGAGGCAUCUCAGGUGAGUGCACAUUUGUAAUUAAGCUACAAAUAUAAUUGGGUUUAAUGUUUGGUCUGCCCUAAAUAAUUGGGAUACGGUCGCAGCCAGUCCAGCUACCCAGAGGGUGCUCUCUGGAAAAGUCUGUUUAUGUACUUGGAGACAGAUUGGAUGUUUCUGUAAAGCUCUCCUGAAGGUACUAUGCAAUCCUUGUCAAAGGGUUUCUGGGGAGGGUGGCCUUAUUCCAUCCUCCAUGGUAGGACACCUUUCCACACCAAGGCCAGUAGUAGGCGAUCUGGCAUAAUUGCAGCACAAAACAUUGCAGUAAAAGGUCGUGGUCUCUUCCCAGAUUCAUGAAGCAGCUGCUCCCUAUCCUGCUCUCUUACCCUCAUGAGACUAAUGGCUCAUGGUUGAAAUGGGGGACAUUCUGUCAUUGAUAGUACUGAGGCAGUCCACCUCUGUUUCCUGAUCCCCAGCAAAUUGUGACCCUGGGUGGGCUGCCCUGUUUGGGAUUGACUUGAAGGGAUCAUCCCAAUGAUGUGCAUAUUCUGUGCCUCUCCACCCCAAACCCAAAGCCCCUCCUUUGCUAAUGCAAGCAUAUGAAAAAAGCAGUCAAGCAAUUGCCACGUUGCUGUGGGAAAGGAGGGCUGUAGUUUGCCACCCUUUCCUACACAAAGCAAAAGACCCCUUCUGGCCUUUUGCUUACUAUGUCUGCGUACAAACCAAAUUCUCCUGCCCAGUGCUUUGCUGUAUGUUAUACCUUACUGGUAGACUUUGUUCCCUCCAACUGUUCCCUUUCCUGAGAGGAAUGAAUUUUGUUAUGUGGACCAAUGUGGAGGUGAUGUGCAUAACAAAAUUGGGGUGUGGGCUCUGGGAUGGGGCUCGGGAUGAGGGGUUUGGAGUGCAGGAGAGGGCUCUAGACUGUGGGAUUUGGAAUACAGAGGACUGCAGGUUGAGGCAGGAGAUUGGGGUGCAGAAAGGAGUAAGGGCUGUGAGGUGGGCACAGGCAUGAGGAGUUUGGGAUGCAGAAGGGGGCUGCAGGUUUGGGGAGGGGGUCAGACCUGGUUGUUGGAGUACUGAUUAUCUCAACCUGCACGGCUUCUCCACUGCUGCUCCGGAGUCCUCUGGCCUAUGCUUGCUGUCUCUCGGUGAAUGGGGCCUGGGAAUAGCCUGCGGAGGGUGAGGGGGCCAGGAGAUGAGGCUAGCCACAGGAACUGAUGCAGAUCGCAUGGCGGGGGAGGUUGGGGGAUGCCCAAAAGUCCCCUGCAGCAUCUCCACCUAGCUCCUCAUCCUCCUUUAAUCCUGCCUUUCCUCAAGCACCAGCAUUCAAGGUUAAAUAAAAAACUCUUUCUACUAUUUUUCAUUGCAGAUAUGCAAUAUCAGCUACAUUAUGGGUUAAAUAGGCUUUGGUGUACUAGCCUGAGAAUCUAACUACCAUCUAUAACAUUGUUUCUAGGGGAAGAUGUGUUCUGAGUUCCAAACAACUGACUUACAAACUUUUGGCGCACAACCCUUUCAUAAAUUGGGGGCUUCCUGUAUUGAAGUGAAUCAGAAUGAUGAACUUUUGAUUAACCUAGGAUCUAAUUCAAAGCCCACUAAGUAAAUGGAAAGGCACUCAGUGAAGCACUGGGCUUUUAAUUAGGUCUUUAAAUGCUUUGGACAAGUUCAUAUUUGAUUAUAACUGGAUGGGCUUUCUUGCUAUUGGGAGAAAGAAGCCUUGACCAAAUUAACAGCAAAAUCCUCUGCAUGCUCAGGGCAGAUCUGUUGGUUCUGCCAGCUGCCCCAGAUUACAGAGGGUAGCUCAGAAAGUAGAUCAGCAUUAGGGGCAAAAAAGAGCUGGGGAAAAUUAGCCAUCCUUGUAGGCACCAUAGAUCGGCACUCUGAGAAUUUCAAAACUACUUAUGAACAGGGUUGGAUUUCAGCGAAGGAAAGGGGUUUUGUUUUGUUAUCAAAAUAAUGAACUUGGGAGGCUUGCUGGGGUUUUAGCUGUUUUAAGGUUUACUUCUCAAUGGACUUACACAUACAUAUAUAUGAUUUAAGGAACAAAUUCUGUUGUUUUUAAUCAGGCAAAACUUUCACUGAAUGAGUCAGUAAAAUCUGACAGCUAUGUACCUGGACCUGGCUUUUAGUAUCAAUAUUUCUUCCUUUCAAGGUAUCCCAACAAUGUGUCCCCUCUAGGGUUGUAAAUAUCCAUUACAAGUGUUAACUGCGUAAGCGAUAUAAUUAUAAUCAUUUAACCAUUUAACUGAUUAACUGUGCAGCUGAGGUCCAGUCAGCCCACCGCAGUCAAGGGGCUGCUCCAGCCAGAUGGGGUCCUGCUGUACUGUGGGCAGGAGGACUGCUCUGGUCUGUCAGAGUCCUGCCAACCAGGCUGCAGUGAGCAUGGUCUGCUCCCCCCCCCCCCUCAACCUGGCUUUCCGCGCUAAUGCCGACCAGGUAACUGGUUAACCUUUUUAUGUCACUAUUUCCCAUGUCAAUAAUCUUCCUUUUACCAUACAUCAAACUACCUCCUUUUUCAGUCAGAUUUCAAGAGUCCCACAAGAAUUACUUCAAUAAAAAAGUUAUUAAAGAACAAUCCAAGAGGCUGUUAUUGCCUACUCAAUAUUUUAAGAGCAUCCCAUUUUUCAUGUUUACCUUUUAGACUUGCAAGCCAUUUGGGGCACAGGCUGUUUUUAUUAUUGUUGCUGUUACAAUACAAAGUACACCUUUAGUGCCAAAUAAAGGAGUCCUGUUACCUCUCGUAUUCCUUCAGAGCCAGUUGGAAUCUGUUUCAUAUUUUUUCUUAGACUCCAACAUCAAUAGAUUGUAAUUCAUAUCUUUUUUGCUCCUCUCCAAUCCUCUCGGUAGCAUCAUUAUUGUUAAUGAUCCUUCAAUCCUGUAUUUUGAUAUCAGCCACUAGCAAUUCCCAAAACACCUUUGGUUAUAAGGCUUUGCUCCAAAACUGUGAAUGUAAAUAUACUAAUAUGGAAAUUAUAUUACAAUUCAGAAGCUCUAGAUUAGUUAUAUAGCUAUUUGUUCUAGUCAUUAAAAGACAGUGUUGUCUUCAAGUAGUCAUUGUCAAGUCCAAGUUGAGACUCAAGUGACUACAGUUCAAGUCUCAAGUCGAGUCUCAAGUCCCUAAAGUCACUUUCGAGUCAAGUCCCAAGUUGAGUCUCAAGUUUUAAUUUUAAAAAUGUCAAGUCACUUUUGUACAAGCCAUCAAUAUCGGCAUUUUCGGACAAUUUUUUCACCAAGUCAAUUUAACAAAAUUAGCAAGUCUCAAGUCAGAAACAAUGAACCCGAGUUGAGUCUCAAGUCGAGUCACCUAGGCAACUUAAGUUGGACUCGAGUUCAAGUUGUGGGACUCGAGUCAACAACUCUGCUAAAAGAAAAUGUCCACAGGUACAAAUGGUAGGUUGGCACCUAACUCCCAUUGAAAAUGUCCCCCUAAAAAUCAGAAUUUGGAGUAACUAAGACAAUUCAUCAUAGUUCUAAAGUUUCCUUAAAUGUUUGUGUGCAAGUUUAAAUCUGGAUGUUGGAAUAAGCUUUGACUGGUCAGGCUACUGCCAUUAUGUAGAGCCUUCUUUGACUUUAGUGGGGCUUUACAUUGGGCACAAAGACCCACCUGCACAGAUUUAGUUACAAGAUGAGGUUUUUAAUGCUUGUGAAAGGUGCAAGUCAUUUUAAAUCCCAAGUGAUGAGGAGAGCCCCCCAACACAAUGAGAAAGGGCACAGAAUUUCAAAUGAGAGAGGGGCACAGAAUUCAGUAUUUACUGACUGCAAGGAACAGAGAAUGAACAACAAAGCGAAAAAGACAGGGAUGGGAAGUUCAGGAGACAGGUUUAAAAUGAGAGAUCCAGAGAGGGAUACUGAGCAGAGAGCCCUGUUUAUCCAGUAUAACCAGAAGAAUGCUAGUGAAAUUAGAAAAUCUGGGGACGAAAUGUAAAGUAAAUCGGGCUACUUACUCAUUGUUAAUAUAAUACAUGGCACAUGAUUAAAAUUAUGGAAAUAGUCUUUUCUAGUGGCUGGGGAGAUACUUCUUAGAUUGUGUGCUAUCCUAUGACUUCUCAGGUCCCUCAACGGACAGCUGAUUAGAGGGUGGCAAAAAAGAAAACAAACAAUUAUUUGCUUUGCUUGGCAAUAGAUAUAAAAGCGUCUACCCUAAACUCAUUCCUAUGCCUUCAGUAUAAAACCUUGUGUUCUGUAUUUUCUCCAUGCACAGAUUAGGGAUGUUUCAUUUAAGGUACUGAAACUAGUUACAUUGAUUAGACUGAAAUAGCAACAUAAGCACCUCGUCCCACUAUCUAGCAGUAUUUGUGCAACAAUAACUCACCACAGGCCCUGUUAUGGAGGAGUUUGUAUCUAUAAUUUUUUAUCUCCUCUAUUCUGAGCUCUUCUGUCUCUUGCAAUGUACCACAGACCGAAAGCAAAUAAUGGAUUGCAGGUUGUGUUUUGCUGCGGUUAAAUAUUUUCACCCUUUGUAUGAAAUUAAAAAUUGACUCUGGCAGUCAGAAAAAAAAAAAGCUGAAGCAUGAUGAGUGCUUUCAGGGGAAAACUUUUAUUCCACACAGAAUGUACAUGCUGGCGAAAAUUUGGCUUUGUCCAAAGAUGUCAGCUUUUCUAAGUAAGGGUUUACAUUUUUAAUAUUACUUGUUUUAAAACAGAAAUGGGGAGAAGUGAUGUUUGGGAGCCACGUUUAGGCCUGUGUAUUGUCAGUGGAGUUGCAUUAAAUUUGAAAUAGGGCUCUGGCUCUACUAAAAUUCACUAAAGUUCCUUGUUGCCUUGUUUUCCACAUUAACACUCUCUGCAGCAUCUGGAUCCAGUGGUUAGAACACUAAGCUUAGACUCAGACAACCUUGUUUUAGGUAACACAGACUUUCUGUGUAACUCUGCACAAGCCUUUCUGUGUUUCAGUUCCCCAUCUGUAAAAUGGGGCUAAUAGCACUUAUCUACCUAUUGUGAGGAUAGAUACAUUCAAGAGGCACUCAUACUAUGGUGAUGGUUAUAAGUACCUGGGAUAAAUAGAUGCCCUGUGUCAUUACCCUCUCAGAGUAUAUUAAUGCUGCAGUUGGAAACAUGAUUCCCAGCAUGCCAAGAUAGGCCCUGUUUGAGCUAGCAUAAUAAAUUUGGCAGCGUAGUUUGGGAAUCGCAGGUUCAGUAACUUGCACUAACUCCUCAAUAUGCACACAGGGCUUCCAGGAGGUUUGUAAUCAGGAAGCAAAUUCAUGCUACCAUUUCCGGAAUCUCUGGCUAAACUGGUGUUUUCAGCAUGGUAGCUCAGGGAAAAUUAGUGCAUAUCUCUGUGUGUGUACUAGGAACUAUGCUCGCAGUUGCAAAGUAAGCAUUCCCUUAGACAUUAUGCCACAGCUUCCCUUUUGAACUCUCACUAACCCAGGUUACCAGUUUCCUUUCUUAUCCAGGUGUAAUUAAUGUCAGCACCAGUCUUUCACUUCUGUUCUCCUUCUAACAAAUUCCACCUCUUAUCCUUCUGCAGAAUCAACCAAGUAUGCUGUUUUCCCUGUAUCUUCCCUCUCUUUUUCCUUCUGAUGUGUUCAGUCCUAUUGUGCCUUCAUCAACUACCAUGCCAACUUCCAUUUCCUUCUUUCUCCAGAACUCCUGCUGCAUCCCUGAGAAACUUACAUUAGUCCAUGAUUGCUUAAUCCACCAUUCUCUCAGCGAAACCUGGCCUUCCAUUUCAUUUGAUAGCAUUUCCCUUUAAUUCAGGGGUAGUAGCAACGAGUACUUGUUCCGACCCAACUACUGCUUUCAGCUUUUCUUCCUCCUCCUUCUCAUGGUCUAUGAUUUAUCUGCUUCAAGAAUCUUCUUUUAAGAACAUAAGGAUGGUCAUACUGGGUCGGACCUAUAGCCCAGUAGCCUGUAUUCCAACAGUGGACAGUGCUAGGUGCUUCAGAGGGAAUGAACGGAACAGGUAAUCAUCAAAUGAUCCUAUCUAAUACUUGUUUCUUCCUGUUUCCUUCUUUUAACUCCCUUUUGGCAACUACAGUGUCCACCUUCAUGGCUGUCCAAUCUCCCCCAAGUAGUCUUGUAUCUGCGAAAAUUCUCUCUCCCAGUGUCACUAUUUGUGAACCCUUCACUGGUUAAUUUCCCUCUUUUUAUCUUCCCAUUACAGCCAUUCAUUACUCUUCUUUCUCACUUCUCCUACUCCCCCAUUCCAUUGCAUAUGUCUUCCAACGAAACUCCCAUUUUACAUAUCCACCAACAUGGUUAUGCCACUUUUAAUGUACCUUUUAUGCUUGUAACAAUCUCCAUUUCUAUUUAAAGCAAUCUCUUUUUAUUCAAACCAGAGGUGAAAGUAAGGGCAUGUGCCCUGGUGCACAGCUCCAGCAAGAACUGGCUGAGCUGCGGCAAAAGCCAGCAGGGAGCUAUUUAAAGAGCUGGCAGGGACCCAGGUUGUGAUAGGACAGUACUUGUAAGAAAUGUAAGUUGCUUUCACCCGUGAUUACCCCUUAGUGUAGUCCUCCAACAAGGACAUAUUAGAAGAAUUCUCUCCCUCUUCAAGAUUAAGCCGUCAUCUGGCAUAUUCUAUAUCUGAUCUGUAUUGCCAAUAUCUGAUCCAAGGUAGUGGUAAGGUCUACCUUUGUUGAUGCAGAAUGGAGAGUAUAAAUAAUUAUAACAAACCCUGGGGGAAAUUGGAUGUAAAAAAUGCAUUCUCAGAGAGCUCCAUCUUGAUCAGCUAGGGUUUAUUUCUAGUACAGUUGUUGAAUUUGUAUAGAUUGGGGCUACUUUUUAUCUGGUUACCCCUUUCACAUCCUGUGGUUCAUUCUUUGGUGUUGGAGUCACGUUUGCAGAUUUGGUCAGAACUCUGUUUGGUUAGAUGGAAGUUGAACCUCUCAUCCUGAAAAACACUUUGAACAAAUCCCAAGCGUUUAAUGCCUGCUGAGAUGGGCAAGUGGAGAACAGUGUCUCAAGAGUGGAAAGGUAGGGCAGUCUUUCAUCAGCAAGCUCAAAAACUUAGGAGGUGGGAGUCUGCAGCCUAGAAAAUGCUUUAUGUUUAUCAGUUAUAAAAAGACAAUAAAGUGUUCUGCCAACCAGGGAGUAGAUGAUCGCUGAACGAGUGAAAGGAGAACAUGAGCAUUUGUGAAGUGGGACUACUUUAAAUAAAUGAAUGUAGGGAUCUUAAUCUUAACUAAACAUUAAUUAAGAAAUGUUUGCACAGCUCUUAGAACAUGGAAAGCUCUGUACGUGCAAAGUAUUAUUAUUUUAUUAUUAUAGUAUCAUGAAUAAUCCUAAAUGUUAUUUGGCUUGAUGGUGCAUAACAUUGUUGGAAUAAGUGGAUCCUUUAGAACCCUUCAGCUUGUAAACACACUCCAGCAUUACCAUCAAGGAAUGUUUUGGUUGUCACUUCUGAGGCUCCGUCUAUAAUGCCAUCGUUAGAGCUGUAUGGAACACAGCCCCAACUGGGUAUCCUAGCAUUCAUAGACUGACAAGUUCCCUGAGAAAACAUUUUCAAAAACGAUAUCUGGUAUUGAAAUGUGCCCUCAGAUGGAAUUUGAGGGACAGGUAUUUCUGAUGUUUGUUUGUGCCUAAUUUGCAUAUCUUCUUUCGGAAGCCAUAGGUAAUCUAGACGUAGCCUGUGCCUAAAGCUGCUGGGAGACUGCCCUCUUGUUCCUAUGUAAAACCAUUGGCAAAGUCUGGCACUCUUGUUCCCAUGAACACCUGAUUCAUAUACCACAUUAUCAUGAUUUCUGAUAAAGUCACAUUUGGUGAGGAAAAUCAAACCCAAAUUAUAGUAAAUCCAGAAAAACUCGAUAUAAGUACAAUUAUAUUUUUGACAAGUCUAAAAUGUUUAAAGAAGAAUCUCUAAAGCGUGAACUUCUAUCGACACUUGUCUCAUCAGUAAAAUGUGGCUCAUGCUUCUAUCCCAGGAUUGAAUAAUCAAGACACCUAAUUAACUAUACAUGCUGUCAUUUUUACAACCCUUUUAUUUGGAUGUGUAUAAUGGUUUUUCUCUGUAACCUGGUGAACCUAAUAUAAGGCAAUGAAUUGUCAUAUGAGCUAAUCUCACCGUAUUCUUUUCUGUAUUUAAGGAAUUAAUAAAACUACAAAGACAUUAUUGCAUUCAAAUUA